ensembl:miRNA MIR21 microRNA 21
GUCAGAUAGCUUAUCAGACUGGUGUUGGCUAUUUAAUCACAUGGCAACAACAUUCUGUAAGCUGUCUGA